rnacentral:rRNA from 1 species
GACGAACGCUGGCGGCGUGCUUAACACAUGCCAGUCGAACGGAAAGGCCCUGCUUUUGUGGGGUGCUCGAGUGGCGAACGGGUGAGUAACACGUGAGUAACCUGCCCUUGACUUUGGGAUAACUUCAGGAAACUGGGGCUAAUACCGGAUAGGAGCUCCUGCUGCAUGGUGGGGGUUGGAAAGUUUCGGCGGUUGGGGAUGGACUCGCGGCUUAUCAGCUUGUUGGUGGGGUAGUGGCUUACCAAGGCUUUGACGGGUAGCCGGCCUGAGAGGGUGACCGGCCACAUUGGGACUGAGAUACGGCCCAGACUCCUACGGGAGGCAGCAGUGGGGAAUAUUGCACAAUGGGCGGAAGCCUGAUGCAGCAACGCCGCGUGCUGGAUGACGGCCUUCGGGUUGUAAACCGCUUUCGCCUGUGACGAAGCGUGAGUGACGGUAAUGGGUAAAGAAGCACCGGCUAACUACGUG